UGAUGCCCUGGUUAAGGAACGUUUGGAGAAGCGGAAUCGCCCUUAAAGGAGAUUAAGGCCUUCGGGAGUCAGACAGCUUUCUGCCCGUUUCUACCCGGACGGACCGACCAGGCGAUCGCUUCGUCGGGUUUCCAGCAUAGCUCCCGACGCCCUGGGACGAGGGUUGGGGGGCAAUACCAGCUGAGCGCGGUGACCUAGGGCCCCUCGCGGACUGCAGCGCCGGGUUCUCUUGUGUUGCCUCAGGCCCAUCACCACGUUUAGUUACUUGCCCAGAAUCAAGGGGAAGAAAAGUGGAUUAUCUCUUGGUCACGCUGCAAGAGUGAUAAUCUCUCAGGGCCAGGCCCAGGAAUGGAGGAAGCAGAAGAAGCUACCAGGCUUUGCACUCGACAGGACAAGAGUGAAGKAAGAGGGCUGGGGAUGUGGCUCAAGCGGUAGCGUGCUCGCCUAGUGUGCGUGCGGCCCGGGUUCGAUCCUCAGCACCACAUACAAAAAAACGAAGAUGUUGUGUCUGCCGAG
rnacentral:lncRNA from 1 species